AGUGAUCGCUGGCGGCGUGCUUAACACAUGCAAGUCGAGCGAGAUCGUGGCAGUGUAUCGUCAGGUCUAGCGGCAGACGGGUGAGUAAUACUUGGGCAAUCUGCCCUUGAGUGGGAAACAACCUUCCGAAAGGAGGGCUAAUGUCCCAUAAGACCACGGGGAUGGCAUCAUCCAGAGGUCAAAGCUCCGUAAGGGCGCUUGAGGAGGAGCCUGAGCCUAUCAUGGUAGUUGGUGAGGUAAUGGGCUCACCAAGCCUUUGACGGGUAGCCGGCCUGAAAGGGUGAUCGGCCACACUGGCACUGAGACACGGGCCAGACUCUACGGAGCAGCAGUGGGAAUUUGGACAAUGGGGCAACCCUGAUCCAGCG
rnacentral:rRNA from 1 species